CUGUGCUCGUUUCAGUGCAGCUGUGCAGGGUGCUGGGAUCUGGGUAAAACUCCAGCUCUCCUGGUGUUCAGGGAUGCAAGGUCUGAGGGACUGGAUUUACCUAGGACUUUCCAGGAACAAGGGGAAAUGUGGUGCCAGAGCUGUGCCCUGUCAGGUUGUGUUUCCCUUUGGGGAUAGGGAGUCUCUGGGCUGAGGUGAGAUUGCUGUGUGAGUGGCAGGGAACAGGGAGCUGAGAAUUGCAGGCACUGAUGGAAUAGUUGUCUUAGGUCUGUUUGGUUUGUGUUUGUGAAAACUGGGAUGUGGGCUGGAGAGAUGCUCUUGGGAACAGUGGAUAGAGUACAUUUCCUCCAUGGAUGUGUAAGGAAGGACAGGGAAGGGGAGUAUUUAUAAACUGUUCUCAGUAUUUCAUGCAACUUCGGGGUGGAGCAGCGAUGCAGGUGGGUGGGUUUGGCCUGGGCCUGUCAGGACUAACCCCAAAGAAUCCAACCAAGCCCCUGACCCCUCAAGGCAUCUGUGAGACACUUCCACAGAAACCCAAGUCAGAAAUCCAGUGAUUAUGGAGGUAAAAUGAUAGAUAAAACUUGGAUUGUUUGAAAAGUGGGGAGAUAUUUCACCAUAGUACAAAAGAAGAUACAGAAGAGGAGAGCAGAAUGAGAGCUUUGCAAGUGCCACAUGCCUGCAGCCUGCUGUCUUUAGUGAUGCUGUUCCUUCCAGUCACUGGAACAUCAAAACAAAAUAUCCCAAGACUGAAGCUUUCCUAUAAAGGUAAACUUUUCAGUAGUUUUUCUGAUUCUGCCACUUUCAUUUCGAUGUGAUACUGCCAGCAGUUUUUUGUAUUACUAACCAGGAAAUACAUAAUAGAAGCCUUAAAGAUGGAUGAAUUCUGCCUUGGGGCAGUAUUAAAAUCUGGGUUUUUUGUUGUGUCGGGGCACAUGUUUCUGAAGUAUAAAUGUCUUUUAAAAGUAGUAUUUCUGUUUGCUCCAAGAGGAUGUUAACAGACUAUACAUAAAUUAGAGGGGAGUAGUCCUUGAAACACUCUGAGGUGCAUUGGAGACAUUCCUGUGUGGCUGGUGGGGAUGAUGUGAGACAUGGAGGACAUUCACACCUUCCUACAGCAUCAGAGAAAGUUGAGAGAGCUGACUCAAGUGUUUCAAGGGGACUGACAUUUAUUUUUGUAAUAAUUCUUUUUCUAUCACUAAGUGGGUAUGUUAAACUCUUCAUAUGUGGUUUUCUUUCUCCUUGCCUCUUUGGAUCACAAAAGCGUGUUUCUCUGCAGAAUUUCUUAGUCUUGUGUGUAGUUCUUGUUAAGAAUGGUACCGUCUGAGGGAUUUCAACACAGACGUAUUUAUGUAUUAAUGGCCAAUUUUUUAAAGAAGGUAGAUUUCUUUUUGCUUUGAAUGUGCAGUACACCUCCACAGGCACAGAGAUGUGUCACUGAUACUUCCUUCUUUAGUGAAAAUAAAUGCUCUCCAGUUAGUUAUGUUUCAGCUAUGUCAGCACCUUGCCCUUAUGGGAGCUAUUUCUGCUCUGUUUUUCAAACUUAUGUCUUCCUAUGCAUUGCAGAGUUACACUCAGGAUGGUGUGAUGGGACAGGCUGUAAAGCCUUCAUCAGGGCUUAUGAUAUGUUUAUCAUGAGUUUAACACCCAAAGAAAUUUAUUGAGUAAGCAGAAUGACAUGCUAUUUAUUUACAAGCUUCUCUUUUGCUAGAUUUGCAUGCCUCUGUGCAUGCUAUUCCACUGUGUAUAUAAAUGUGUUUGGAUGUGUUUGUGUGAGAGAGACAGAGGAAGCAAGAUCAAGGGAUCUUGACAACAUUUUUAUAAAUUCAGGAAACAGUUGCACUCACUGAAGCCAAUGAAUACAGAAACUGAAAGACCUGACAUGAGUUAUGAAAGUUAGCAGUAAAACCCUCCUGACAUACAGCCGGCCUUCUCACAGCUAGGCCUUUUGAGAUAAUUCCCAAAAGCAGCGUACACCAUAUGGCGAUGGCAUUUACUGUGGAUUUGACACUCACGAUUAGUGAAUUCCUCUCAAUUUCAAAAGCAGAUAGCCUUUGGCAAAAUCCUGAUGGAUGCCUUUGGCAGGUAAAGGGGGGGAGAAAGAAAAAUUAUUGAGGUCAACACAGGGGAAAAAAAAUGGCUGAAAUCUUAGUUUAAAAUAGUGGCAGAGACCUGCUGGGAACAGUUGGGAAAAUGCCUGAGCUCGUUUAAAAAGACAAUGAGCAGAUGAUUGAUAUUUAGGCCCUGACCCAAACUUUUAUUAGCAACUUUAUAAACCUUUCAGUUUGGCUUGAGGGAUACCGUUUCCUGUCCAAACUUAUUCACCUAUAUCCCUGUAGGGGCGGAAAAUCAACAACAGAUACAGAUGCAAAAUAGCACAUAAAUCUUAGUUUUGAGAGCUGUGAUGGAACUGAAAAGUCAGAAGAAAGAGAAUUACCAGAAUUUAUUGUGCCUUGUCUUAUUUUCUUGGGAGGUUGGAAGGUGUAUAUUUUUCCACAUGGAACAAGAAAUAAUUUAAUGCUGUUUUUUCACGUUUAUGUAUUGUAAAUGAUUCCAGUAUGGCUUAUCAUAAUUAAACUGUAUUUUGUGUGUUGACAACAGAAUAUCAGAUGUACUGAAUAUUUAAUAUAGUUGUGAGAAUUAAGUCACAUUGGUCACACCUGGUCACAUGUGUCUUUGAAGGGAAGGUUUCAUCUCCUUUCAGGUGCAAUGUGUUUAUGGCAUAGCUCCAUCUUCCCAGAAGAGCUGAGCAUUUGCUGGGGCAGGAGAGCUGGAAGUAAGCAGGACUUUGCUCUGCAGUUACUGAAUCUUCCAGUUGCAUCAAUCAGUGGUGGAUGGAGGAAGAGGGAGAGGGUAGGGUGGUUAAAGAUGUGUCUAUAACUGCAGGAGUGUUUCAAUAAACCACAGCAUGUCAAAGCUCCUUUGUGUUCAAACAGCAAUUAAAUUUUUAGACCUUCUCUGAA